rnacentral:rRNA from 1 species
CAAUAGCGUAUAUUAAAGUUGUUGCAGUUAAAAAGCUCGUAGUUGGAUUUCGGGUGGGACGCAGCGGUCUCGCAUUGCGUUUGUACUGCUGCAGCCCUCCUUCUUGCCGGGGGCGGCCUCUCGGACUUCACUGUCUGGGGGUCAGAAUCGGCGAUGUUACUUUGAGUAAAUUAGAGUGUUCAAAGCAAGCUUACGCUCUGAAUAUAAUAGCAUGGGAUAACACGACAGGACUCUGGCCUAUCGUGUUGGUCUAUAGGACCAGAGUAAUGAUUAAGAGGGACAGUCGGGGGCAUUCGUAUUCCGUUGUCAGAGGCGAAAUUCUUGGAUUUACGGAAGACGAACAUCUGCGAAAGCAUUUGCCAAGGAUGUUUUCAUUGA